rnacentral:lncRNA from 1 species
GAUGAUGAUGAUGAGGCGGCGCCGCCGCAGGUCCUCUUCGUCGCCUCAGCUGUUUGUAAUCAGGAUCGGAGCUGACUCGUGCAGGAUGGUAGACGCGUGUCUGUCUGUGUCCAGGAGCAGGGUUGGCGUUGUCGUCGUGGAUAAAAGUAAAAGGCGGUUGUCAGCAAAAUGCGCGCGUUGCUAUUUAUUGUCAGUUUAGGUAAGAGAAGGUUCGGUCGACUUUAUUGAGAAGACGCGGCGGCGUUCGGUGGAGCUGGCGGUUCGCUUUUAGAAAUAGCAGCGCGUUGAUUAAUUAAGGAAUGAAAGUAGUUUGAGCUGGCGUGCUGGCGGCGACCAGCGAGAAAGCAUUCGAGCAGUUUGGAUCCAAAGCGUUUGAUUUGUUUAUUGUGAAACAAUCGGCAAAGUUAAUACACGACAGUUGUUCUUCCGAACGGCAGAGGGCGCUGUGCGCUGGCGGCCUAUAUAUACAUCGAUCCGCCGUAGAGCGAGUCAGUUUGUUUGGCGUGCGCGGCGUGGAACUCGUGCACCGUGGGCUUCUCCUGGCUGCUGUACUGCAAGGAUUUUUGGAGUCGGCUCGUGGUGUUUUUUCCUGAAAGCGUUUUAGGCUUGUAAGCUCGCGAUGGGAUUAAAUAAUGUUUGCUCGUGUUAUGGAGAGGCGCAGGGAGCGCUGCCGCAGGAGCGCGGCUGUUGACGGAUUGUUAUCUGGAGCCGACGGAGGACGCGGACACCGGGAACCGAGAGGAGUCUUUACUUCGUACUCAAAUGUUCAGCCGGCGACGAGUGGACUCGGAAGCAGCGAUUUGAUGUUACAACGGGUAGUAGACAAGAAGUUGUUUGUGUUCGGUUGUGGAACGUGCGGCUAAUAAAAGUCAUGGAUGUAUCUGAA